rfam:Sus scrofa isolate TJ Tabasco breed Duroc chromosome 1, whole genome shotgun sequence.
UCCCUGGUGGUCUAAUGGUUAGGAUUCGGCACUUUCAGUGCUAUGGCCAGGGUUCAGUCCCUGGUCUGGGAA